UGUGGUAAGAAGAUUGCUUCUCAAACACAUGGUUUCAUGUUCAGUGCCACUGUGUGGCACCUUGGGCAAGAGUCAUCUAUUAUUGCCUCAGGGUGACCAAAGACUUGUGAGUGGAUUUGGUAGGCAGAAACUGAAAGAACCCUUUUGUGUGUGUGUGUGUGUG